CCCUGGCUCAGGACGAACGCUGGCGGCGUGCCUAAUACAUGCAAGUCGAGCGGAGUUGAUGAGGUGCUUGCACCUCUGAUACUUAGCGGCGGACGGGUGAGUAACACGUGGGUAACCUGCCUAUAAGACUGGGAUAACAUUCGGAAACGAAUGCUAAUACCGGAUACGCGAUUUGGUCGCAUGAUCGAAUCGGGAAAGAUGGAGCAAUCUAUCACUUAUAGAUGGACCCGCGGCGCAUUAGCUAGUUGGUGAGGUAACGGCUCACCAAGGCGACGAUGCGUAGCCGACCUGAGAGGGUGAUCGGCCACACUGGGACUGAGACACGGCCCAGACUCCUACGGGAGGCAGCAGUAGGGAAUCUUCCGCAAUGGACGAAAGUCUGACGGAGCAACGCCGCGUGAGUGAUGAAGGUUUUCGGAUCGUAAAGCUCUGUUGCCAGGGAAGAAUGCUUGGGAGAGUAACUGCUCUCCAAGGUGACGGUACCUGAGAAGAAAGCCCCGGCUAACUA
rnacentral:rRNA from 1 species